ACCAGCGUAUCCUUCAGGUUUUGGCGACCGUCAGAAUACUUGCAUCGCAUAUAGGCUCUCCUUCUCAACUCCUGCUCAAAACGUCCACGACGUGCAGAACGGUAACUUGCCGCCUAGAUAUCCAAGCUGGGGUACACGGGGAAACCCACCCCCUUGGGCGGAUGGGCGGCAAGGCUGAAUUGAGAGGU
rnacentral:ribozyme from 1 species